AACAGGAAAAGCAGAACGACACUGCAGUACGGCAUCCAGAAGAACUGAUGCUAAAGGGGAAGACAAAGGGAUAGUGCUCUCCUUGGAAUUCAGGGGCAUUGUGGAUAAAUGAGUGUGCAAAUUGCAAUGAGCUUCCCCGCUGAUUUGCUGAGUCACUGGUGGGCACGGUUUGGAAGAGGUGAAGGGGACUGGAAAAUGGAACAAACGUGCGGAUGGAACACGUGCCGGUCUGUAUCUUCAGGGGAGGCAGAGCCGUGUGGUCGCCGCUUUUGGCUGCAUUAAUGUUUGUGGAACCACUAGACUAUGUGAGUUCGCCUCAUAUCUUUGAAUACACCUGAUAUUACAAUAAGUUGGUUCCUCAGUAAGGAUGUAAAAUCCUGUUUUAACCAGUUAAAACUUGGGUUUAAUCAGUUAAUCGAUUCAG